rnacentral:lncRNA from 1 species
ACUCUAGGCCCAGGUAAGCAGGCAGAUUAUACAGAGAUCUAGCAGCUUACAGGCCUAGGCCUAGGGGUAGUUGGAACAUAAAUAGAAAUGAUCUGGGCUCAGCCAAACCAUGUAUUCAAAAGUUUGAGUACGCCUCUCAUCUCAUCACCUUCUCUGGUCAACAAAAGUCACAUUUACAGUUGACAUUAGAAAACGCAACAUUUUUCCUAAGUGAUUCUAGAAUCUAGUGAUUUGUCAUCUUGGAGAUGACAAGUUACCAGUUUGAAAAAAUAAUGGAACAAGCGAAACAACUGGCCGCACUGGCUAAUCUGGAGCCUGGUGCUACCAUGGAGACUCCUUCAGGAAAUUUUUAGAAAGUGGUUUUGGUGUUUUUUGUUUUUUGGUUUUUUCUUGAUUUCAUUUUCACCUUUAGAUCUCCUGACAAUGUAAAUAUUUAUGCCUAAAAAACUGACUUGAUUGUAGAAGGAAGGCAUCACAUAUUAAUAAGAUCUGUCAAUUGGUUCUCACUGGACUCCAAGCUUCCUGUGAUAGCUGGUCUUUAUCACAAACUUUAUCAGAUUUUGAGUUACCUGGGAGGGAAACCUCUGCUUUCCAACAAAGGCCUAACAGAGAAGAGAGGACUACUCUCCAAGUGGGCAGAACUUUCCAGAAGUGCCUCUUCUUGCAAAAGUAAGCUUUUCUGUUGUUGCCCUGCCAUCCCUUACAGCAUGCCAGCUUCUCCAGCCUUCCAAUCCAGGCUUAGUACCAGUGAAUUUCCAGAGGGCUUUCAGGAUCAGUUUACAACAUCAAGAUAUCUAAGUUUGUGAACUGAUCAGCUACUACUGAGUUUUCUGCCUCCCCACAAUGCAGAUGGUCAGGACUACCUAACCCUUAUUAUAAAAUCCAAUCUAAAAGACUCUGUGUGUGUGUGUGUGUGUGUGUGUGUGUGUGUGUGUGUGUGUGUGUGUGUGUGUGUGUGUGUGUUCUGUUCCCUUAGAAAACCCUGUCUAAUAUACUAUCCUAAAUGUAUAAUGUGAGGAUUCUUAAGGAAACAGUUUCACAACACUGUAAGGCAUUCAGUGAAGAUAUUUAAUAUUUAAUAUUUUCUUUCCUUUUUUUUUCCUUCGUGUAGAAGUGGUAGUGAGUGUGUGUGGUCUAUUGUCAUGUGGUGUGUGCAUAUAUGCACUGGUUUGUGUGUACAUGCAUAGAAACCAGAGGAAAAUAUUAAGUGUUCUGCCCUGUCACUCUCUGCUUUAUUACCUUGACACAAGGCCUAUGACUAAGGCUGGCGCUGGGCUGGAAGCCAACAAGCCCUAGGCUUCCCCCCCCCCACCCCCGUCUUCCUUUCCUACACCACUGGGUUUACAGGUGUAUGGGUGGCUACAUUUAACUUUUUACAUCAUUGCUGGGGGGUUGAAUGUAGUUCUUCAUGCCUGUCAAGUGCUUUUAUUCACUAAACCUCCUCUCCAGCCACCCUAAUGCAUUCUUCAUGUUUUAAUCUCUAGUAUAUUCAUUAAAUAAAAGUUCUUAAUUUGUAAGUGCCUGCAAAGUUCUGACAUAAACACACGUCAAAUGAAUGUGGUGUCUCCUCCUCUUUCUGCUUCCAAAUAUGAGGAACAGCUACAUGUGGCACACUGACAGUAUUUAAAACGAUUAGGGUAAGGGAUGGUAGGUAGGUUCAGUGGGUAAAGAUGCCUGACACCAAUUCUGAUGAUCAUUGUUUGGUUCCCUGGUACCCACAUAGUAGAAGGAGAUCUGGCUCCCACAGUUAUCCUCUGAUCUUCAUACACAUACAAUAGCACCCAUCCCCUGCCACCAUCACACACAUACAAACAGAAAAAUAAAUGGAAUGAAUUUACAUUU